AGUGAACGCUGGCGGUAGGCCUAACACAUGCAAGUCGAACGGCAGCACAGUAAGAGCUUGCUCUUACGGGUGGCGAGUGGCGGACGGGUGAGGAAUACAUCGGAAUCUACUUUUUCGUGGGGGAUAACGUAGGGAAACUUACGCUAAUACCGCAUACGACCUACGGGUGAAAGCAGGGGAUCUUCGGAACUUGCGCGAUUAAAUGAGCCGAUGUCGGAUUAGUUAGUUGGCGGGGUAAAGGCCCACCACGGCGACGAUCCGUAGCUGGUCUGAGAGGAUGAUCAGCCACACUGGAACUGAGACACGGUCCAGACUCCUACGGGAGGCAGCAGUGGGGAAUAUUGGACAAUGGGCGCAAGCCUGAUCCAGCCAUACCGCGUGGGUGAAGAAGGCCUUCGCGUUGUAAAGCCCUUUUGUUGGGAAAGAAAAGCAGCAGGUUAAUACCCCGCUGUUCUGACGGUACCCAAAGAAUAAGCACCGGCUAACUUCGU
rnacentral:rRNA from 1 species